AUUCCUAAGUGGACUCUACUAAUUUAAAACUACUAAAAAUAUCUAUUCCUACUUUAUUUCUGAGAUAUAUCUACAACAAUGUGCUUGCAAAAGGUUGGCCCAAGUGACCGAGCCUACGUCAUAAUUUGUGACAGCGGGGGCCUGCGUUCGCGCGGCCCCUAC